rnacentral:lncRNA from 1 species
AUGACUGGCCCCUCCGUGGAGAUCCCCCCGGCGGCCAAGCUGGGUGAGGCUUUCGUGUUUGCCGGCGGGCUGGACAUGCAGACAGACCUGUUCGCGGAGGAAGACCUGGGGGCCCCUUUUCUUCAGGGGAGGGCUCUGGAGCAGAUGGCCGUCAUCUACAAGGAGAUCCCUCUCAGGGAGCAAGGCGGGGAGCAGGACGAUUACCGGGGGGACUUCGAUCUGUGCUCCAGCCCCGUUCCGCCUCAGAGCAUCCCCUCGGGAGACAGGGCCCAGGACGACGAGCCGUUCGGCCCAACCUUCCUCCAGAAAUCAGACCUGACUACGUACCGGAUCACCGGCAGCGCGGAAGCCGCCGAUCCGCCCGCUGGGGAGGCGGUGGGCAGGGGGGACUCGGGCUCGGAGGGGCCGCCCGGGACCGCGCAGCCGGCCAAGCCCUACGCGUGUCGGGAGUGCGGCAAGGCCUUCAGCCAGAGCUCACACCUGCUCCGGCACCUGGUGAUUCACACCGGGGAGAAGCCGUACGAGUGCGGCGAGUGCGGCAAGGCCUUCAGCCAGAGCUCGCACCUGCUCCGGCACCAGGCCAUCCACACCGGCGAGAAGCCGUACGAGUGCGGCGAGUGCGGCAAGGCCUUCCGCCAGAGCUCGGCGCUGGCGCAGCACGGGAAGACGCACAGCGGAAGGCGGCCGUACGCCUGCCGCGAGUGCGGCAAGGACUUCAGCCGCAGCUCCAGCCUCCGCAAGCACGAGCGCAUCCACACCGGGGAGAAGCCCUACGCGUGCCAGGAGUGCGGCAAGGCCUUCAACCAGAGCUCGGGCCUGAGCCAGCACCGCAAGACCCACUCGCUGCAGAGGCCGCACGCCUGCGAGGACUGCGGCAAGGCCUUCAGCCACCGCUCGCACCUGCUGCGGCACCAGCGCGUCCACACGGGCAAGAAGCCGUACGCCUGCGAGGACUGCGGCAAGGCCUUCAGCCAGAGCUCCAACCUCAUCGAGCACCGCAAGACGCACACGGGCGAGAAGCCCUACCGCUGCCACAGGUGCGGCAAGGCCUUCAGCCAGAGCGCGUCGCUCAUCGAGCACCAGCGCAUCCACACGGGCGAGAAGCCCUACGAGUGCGGCCAGUGCGGCAAGGCCUUCUGCCACAGCUCGGCGCUCAUCCAGCACCAGCGCAUCCACACGGGCCGCAAGCCCUGCGGCUGCAACGAGUGCGGCAAGGCCUUCCGCCACCGCGCGGCGCUCAUCGAGCACUACAAGACGCACACGCGCGAGCGGCCCUACGAGUGCGGCCGCUGCGGCAAGGCCUUCCGCGGCAGCUCGCACCUCCUCCGCCACCAGAAGGUCCACGCGGCCGACCAGCUCUAG